rnacentral:rRNA from 1 species
CUGCUCAGGACGAACGCUGGCGGCGUGCUUAACACAUGCAAGUCGAACGGUGAAGCUCCAGCUUGCUGGAGUGGAUCAGUGGCGAACGGGUGAGUAACACGUGAGCAACCUGCCCCAGACUCUGGAAUAAGCGCUGGAAACGGCGUCUAAUACUGGAUACGAGAUCAAGCCGCAUGGUUAUGGUCUGGAAAGUUUUUCGGUUUGGGAUGGGCUCGCGGCCUAUCAGCUUGUUGGUGAGGUAAUGGCUCACCAAGGCGACGACGGGUAGCCGGCCUGAGAGGGCGACCGGCCACACUGGGACUGAGACACGGCCCAGACUCCUACGGGAGGCAGCAGUGGGGAAUAUUGCACAAUGGGCGAAAGCCUGAUGCAGCGACGCCGCGUGAGGGAUGACGGCCUUCGGGUUGUAAACCUCUUUCAGCAGGGAAGAAGCGAAAGUGACGGUACCUGCAGAAGAAGCACCGGCUAACUACGUGCCAGCAGCCGCGGUAAUACGUAGGGUGCGAGCGUUGUCCGGAAUUAUUGGGCGUAAAGAGCUUGUAGGCGGUUUGUCGCGUCUGCUGUGAAAAUCCGGGGCUCAACCCCGGACUUGCAGUGGGUACGGGCAGACUAGAGUGUGGUAGGGGAGACUGGAAUUCCUGGUGUAGCGGUGAAAUGCGCAGAUAUCAGGAGGAACACCGAUGGCGAAGGCAGGUCUCUGGGCCACUACUGACGCUGAGAAGCGAAAGCAUGGGGAGCGAACAGGAUUAGAUACCCUGGUAGUCCAUGCCGUAAACGUUGGGCGCUAGGUGUGGGACUCAUUCCACGAGUUCCGUGCCGCAGCUAACG